AACGCGAAGAACCUUACCAGGACUUGACAUGGGGAGGACGCAGCCAGAAAUGGCUGUUCCCGCAAGGGCCUCCUGCACAGGUGCUGCAUGGCUGUCGUCAGCUCGUGUCGUGAGAUGUUGGGUUAAGUCCCGCAACGAGCGCAACCCUCGCCUUCAGUUGCCAGCACGUUUGGGUGGGCACUCUGAAGGAACUGCCGGUGACAAGCCGGAGGAAGGUGGGGAUGACGUCAAGUCCUCAUGGCCCUUAUGUCCUGGGCUACACACGUGCUACAAUGGCGGUGACAGUGGGAAGCCAGGUGGCGACACCGAGCUGAUCCCAAAAAGCCGUCUCAGUUCAGAUUGCACUCUGCAACUCGGGUGCAUGAAGGUGGAAUCGCUAGUAAUCGCGGAUCAGCACGCCGCGGUGAAUACGUUCCCGGGCCUUGUACACACCGGAGUA
rnacentral:rRNA from 1 species